GAAAUGCGAUAAGUAAUGUGAAUUGCAGAAUUCAGUGAAUCAUCGAAUCUUUGAACGCACAUUGCGCCCCCUGGUAUUCCCGGGGGCAUGCCUGUUCGAGCGUCAUUUCACCACUCAAGCCUCGCUUGGUAUUGGGCAACGCGGUCCGCCGCGUGCCUCAAAUCGACCGGCUGGGUCUUCUGUCCCCUAAGCGUUGUGGAAACUAUUCGCUAAAGGGUGCUCGGGAGGCUACGCCGUAAAACAAACCCAUUUCUAAGGUUGACCUCGGAUCAGGUAGGGAUACCCGCUGAACUUAAGC
rnacentral:misc_RNA from 1 species